CUUUUKNDUUAUAAUUUAAGGUCCGACCUGCCCAAUGAUUUUUAUUAAAUGGCCNNNGUACUCUGACCGUGCAAAGGUAGCAUAAUCAUUAGUUUUUUAAUUGAAAGCUGGAAUGAAAGGUCAGAUGAGAAAAUAGCUGUCUCUAUUUAAAUUUAAUAGAAUUUUAMHUUUAAGUAAAAAAGCUUAAAUAUUUAUAAAAGACGAGMAGACCCUAUAGAGUUUUAUAAUUUUGUUAUUUAGAGUUUUUAGUAUUAUAAUGUUUGAAUAACAAAAUUAUUUAGUUGGGGUGAUUAAAAAAUUAAUAUAACUUUUUUUUUAUUAAAACAUUGAUUUAUGAAUAUAUGAUCCUUAAUUAGAGAUUAAAAAAAUAAAUUACCUUAGGGAUAACAGCGUAAUUUUUUUUGAGAGUUCAAAUCGAAAAAAGAGAUUGCGNCCUCGAUGUUGGAUUAAAAUUUAUUUUUGGUGUAGGGGCUAAA
rnacentral:rRNA from 1 species